rnacentral:rRNA from 1 species
AGAAACUAACAAGGAUUCCCCUAGUAACUGCGAGUGAAGCGGGAAAAGCUCAAAUUUAAAAUCUGGCAGUCUUUGGCUGUCCGAGUUGUAAACUAGAGAAGUGUUAUCCGCGCUGGACCGUGUAAAAGUCUCCUGGAAUGGAGCAUCAUAGAGGGUGAGAAUCCCGUCUUUGACAUGGACUACCAGUGCUUUGUGAUGCGCUCUCAAAGAGUCGAGUUGUUUGGGAAUGCAGCUCAAAAUGGGUGGUAAAUUCCAUCUAAAGCUAAAUAUUGGCGAGAGACCGAUAGCGAACAAGUACCGUGAGGGAAAGAUGAAAAGAACUUUGGAAAGAGAGUUAAACAGUACGUGAAAUUGCUGAAAGGGAAACGCUUGAAGUCAGUCGCGUUGGCCAGGAAUCAACCUUGCUUUUGCUGGGCGUACUUUCUGGUUGAUGGGUCAGCAUCAAUUUUGACUGUUGGAAAAAGUUCAAGGGAAUGUGGCAUCUUCGGAUGUGUUAUAGCCCUCGUUCGCAUACAGCAGUUGGGAUUGAGGAACUCAGCACGCCGCAAGGCCGGGUUUCGACCACGUUCGUGCUUAGGAUGCUGGCAUAAUGGCUUUAAUCGACCCGUCUUGAAACACGGACCAAGGAGUCUAACAUGCCUGCGAGUGUUUGGGUGGAAAACCCAAGCGCGCAAUGAAAGUGAAAGUUGAGAUCCCUGUCGUGGGGAGCAUUGACGCCCGGACCAGACCUUUUGUGACGGAUCCGCGGUAGAGCAUGCAUGUUGGGACCCGAAAGAUGGUGAACUAUGCCUGAAUAGGGUGAAGCCAGAGGAAACUCUGGUGGAGGCUCGUAGCGAUUCUGACGUGCAAAUCGAUCGUCAAAUUUGGGUAUAGGGGCGAAAGACUAAUCG